UCUCCUAAAAAUACAAAAAAUUAGCUGGCGCGUGGUUGCCCACGCCUGUAAUCCCAGCUACUCAAGUCCUGGGAUUAUAGGCGUGAGCCACCACGCCCAGCUGUAACUGGCUAAUUUUUGUAAUUUUUAUAGACAUGGGAUCUCGCUACAUUGCCUAGUAGGCUGAUUUUUUUUUUUUUGAGAUGGAGUCUCACUCUCUCACUCUGUCACUCAGGCUGGAAUGCAAUGGCGUGGUCUCAGCUCACUGCAACCUCUG
rnacentral:lncRNA from 1 species